AUGUAUAUUUUAAAAAUUCUUGUUGAUUCUGCUGCCAGUUCAUGCUGCCUCUUGAUUGACUCGCUGCCAGACGUCCUCUGCAAGCCCCUGAUGGAAUGUUUCAAAGGCCCUCCUGUGGGAAGAGGCAGCAGACCUAGGCCUGCAGCCCUAUCCUGCAGAAUCUACAAUCCCUGAGCUCUGAAAUGCUGAGAUGACCUUUGAAGGCUGCAAGAUGAGGAGCCCAGCUGAGGAUUCCAGCAGGAGAAGAAAACCAAGCUUAACAGUGCUCAAAUUGUGGUUUGGGGCUUUAACAUUUUUCUUUCCUUUUCUUUUAGAGCCAUCAAUUGCCUUCUACAGACAUUGAAUUCACUUACAAAGUUAGAACAGAGAAAUAAAGUGGAAUGCAAUGAUCA
rnacentral:lncRNA from 1 species